rnacentral:rRNA from 1 species
GUGUCAGCCGCCGCGGUAACACGUAGGAUCCGAGCGUUAUCCGAAUUUACUGGGCGUAAAGCGUGUGCAGGCGGUUUGGUAAGUUGGAUGUGAAAGCUCCUGGCUCAACUGGGAGAGGCCGUUCAAUACUACCAAACUUGAGGAUGGUAGAGGGAGGUAGAAUUCCCGGUGUAGUAGUGAAAUGCGUAGAUAUCGGGAGGAAUACCAGUGGCGAAGGCGGCCUCCUGGACCAUUCCUGACGCUCAGACACGAAAGCUAGGGUAGCGAAUGGGAUUAGAUACCCCAGUAGUCC